AGAGCGAACGCUGGCGGCAGGCCUAACACAUGCAAGUCGAGCGCGUGUAGCAAUACACGAGCGGCAGACGGGAGAGUAACACGUGGGAACGCGCCCUUCGGUUCGGAAUAACUCAGGGAAACUUGAGCUAAUACCGGAUACGCCCUUACGGGGAAAGAUUUAUUGCCGAAGGAACGGCCCGCGUCCGAUUAGCUAGUUGGUGAGGUAACGGCUCACCAAGGCGACGAUCGGUAGCUGGUCUGAGAGGAUGACCAGCCUCACUGGGACUGAGACACGGCCCAGACUCCUACGGGAGGCAGCAGUGGGGAAUAUUGGACAAUGGGCGCAAGCCUGAUCCAGCCAUGCCGCGUGGAUGAUGAAGGCCUUAGGGUUGUAAAGUCCUUUCGACGGGGAAGAUAAUGACGGUACCCGUAGAAGAAGCCCCGGCUAACUUCGUGCCAGCAGCCGC
rnacentral:rRNA from 1 species